GCCCAGGUGGCGAAAUGGCAGACGCACUACCUUGAGGUGGUAGCGGGAGAAAUCCCGUGGAGGUUCGAGUCCUCUCCUGGGCACCA
rnacentral:tRNA from 1 species